rnacentral:rRNA from 1 species
UACGUAGGGUGCGAGCGUUGUCCGGAAUUAUUGGGCGUAAAGAGCUUGUAGGCGGUUUGUCGCGUCUGCCGUGAAAGCCCAGGGCUUAACCCUGGGUCUGCGGUGGGUACGGGCAGACUAGAGUGUGGUAGGGGAGACUGGAAUUCCUGGUGUAGCGGUGAAAUGCGCAGAUAUCAGGAGGAACACCGGUGGCGAAGGCGGGUCUCUGGGCAAUAACUGACGCUGAGGAGCGAAAGCGUGAGGAGCGAACAGG